AGAACGAACGCUGGCGGCAGGCCUAAAACAUGCAAGUCGAACGCUCUAGCAAUAGAGAGUGGCGCACGGGUGCGUAACAUGUGGGAAUAUGCCUUUUGGUACGGAACAACUUUUGGAAACGAAAGCUAAUACCGUAUGGUCCCUUCGGGGUAAAGAUUUAUCGCCAAAAGAGUAGCCCGCACUGGAUUAGCUAGUUGGUAAGGUAAUGGCUUACCAAGGCGACGAUCCAUAGCUGGUCUGAGAGGACGAUCAGCCACACUGGGACUGAGACACGGCCCAGACUCCUACGGGAGGCAGCAGUUAGGAAUCUUGGACAAUGGGCGCAAGCCUGAUCCAGCCAUGCCGCGUGAGUGAUGAAGGCCUUCGGGUUGUAAAGCUCUUUAGUCCACGAAUAUAAUGACUGUAGUGGAAGAAUAAGCCCGGCUAACUUCGUGCCAGCAGCCGC
rnacentral:rRNA from 1 species